rnacentral:rRNA from 1 species
UACGGAGGGUGCGAGCGUUGUCCGGAAUCACUGGGCGUAAAGGGCGCGUAGGCGGUUUGCUAAGUCGGAUGUGAAAACUCUGGGCUCAACCCAGAGCCUGCAUCCGAAACUGGCAGGCUAGAGUUCUGGAGGGGGUAGCGGAAUUCCUGGUGUAGCGGUGAAAUGCGUAGAUAUCAGGAGGAACACCGGUGGCGAAGGCGGCUACCUGGACAGAAACUGACGCUGAGGCGCGAAAGCUAGGGGAGCAAACAGG